rnacentral:tRNA from 1 species
GGCUCCUUCGUCUAAUGGUGAGGAUACCGGCCUCUCAAGCCGGAGAUGCAGGGUUCAAGUCCCGCAGGAGCAA